AACGUAGGAGACAAACGUUAUCCGGAGUUACUGGGCGUAAAGGGCGUGUAGGUGGUUUCGUAAGUCUGGCGUGAAAUUUCUCGGCUUAACCGAGGCAGGUCGUCGGAUACUGCGGAACUUGAGGACGGUAGAGGCGUGUGGAAUUCCGGGUGUAGUGGUGAAAUGCGUAGAGAUCCGGAGGAACACCAGUGGCGAAGGCGACACGCUGGGCCGAUACUGACGCUGAGGAGCGAAAGCGUGGGGAGCGAACAGG
rnacentral:rRNA from 1 species